GGCAGGUGGUCCGUUAAGUCGUCUGUGAAAACCCGGGGCUCAACCCCGCGGAAUGCAGGCGAUACUGGCGGACUAGAGAUCGGUAGAGGCUAACGGAAUUCCUGGUGUAGCGGUGGAAUGCGUAGAUAUCAGGAAGAACACCCGUGGCGAAGGCGGUUAGCUGGGCCGAAUCUGACACUCAUCCGCGAAAGCGUGGGGAGCAAACA
rnacentral:rRNA from 1 species